rnacentral:lncRNA from 1 species
AGAUUUUGGGACGAACAGAUUUAGCCAUGGGUGCGCCUGCGCCUCCUUCUCCGCCUCCAAGUUCCCCACUCUUGCUAGAAAAUCCAUCAUCGGAACAUCUUUCAUGAAAAUGAAUCCAUCUACGAAGCUCAGAUUUUCUACCAUCAUCUCUAUUUCCUGUAAUUAUUUUACUAAUUAAUUAGAAAUAGUAUAUAUAGGAUGUGUGCAUGCAGAUAUGUACGUACCUGAUCAAUGGUGUGGGCAGUGAGAUGGUCGUAGUAUUUGACGAGUUCGAUGGAGUAGAGGAGGCCUUGAUUGUUUUUCAAGAGAGUUGCAAUUUUGGAUUGAUGGUAAGAUGAGUAGAAAGAAGAGGAUCUCCAGUUAUUUGGAGGGCUUUUGUCUGUGAGUAGGGACCCCUCCACAUAAUUUGCUCCAUUUAUUGAGAUGAGGUGUUCUUCAUCUCUUGUGAAUUUCGAGAAAUCACUGUAUAUCAUUCUCACCCAUUUUGCCUAUAAUCAAAUACAUAUAUAUCAGGAAACUUAUUUAAAAAAAUAAUUAAUUAAACAUAAAUUUCUUACUCUUGUAGGAGCUUUAUCUAGGAUGAUUCUUGCUCUGACUAUGAUGCCGAACUGACCGAGGCCGCCAAGAACUGCGAAAAAUAGCUCAGAAUUCAUGUGGUGGGAGCAUGUUAUCAAAUCUCCUUUACCUGAACAAAAAAGCACCACAAUAUUACUUGAUUUCUUUUCUUUUUUUUAGGUAAAGGAAAAAAAAAAAACGUGACUAUAAUAAUCAGAUCGAUGAAUGAAUAUCUAUUGUUUUAUUGUACACCUAGUUAGGUAGCACGUGGAGGUGUACAUUCCCUUGACAAAUUUGAUGUCAAGAUAUUACCUAGAACCUCAACAUAAAUAUAUUAUCGAUGCCAAAAUCUAAAAGCAAAAUUAUUCAUGUAUUUUAGUGUAGGUCCAGUAACAUAUGUAUGUGAUGAUCUUGUUGUGUACCAGUAGCACGAUAUAUACCUAGUAUUCUCAAACACUUUCUCUUUCAUCAUUCAGAAUCCUAAAUGAAAAAACAUGAAGCAUGCACCUGUGACAACAUCCAUUUCAACAACAUUGCUAAU